CUUCCCUGGCAGUGGGCCAAGAGACACCUUGUUGGUGAUGUUCUUUCAGUCAGGGGCAGAGCAGUUGGCAGUCCUCUGUUCAUCCUAACCUGAUGCCUGGUUUGGUGGCCAAAGCUGUCUUAUGCCUAGGACUAAUCA